rnacentral:rRNA from 1 species
CCUACGGGAGGCAGCAGUGGGGAAUAUUGGACAAUGGGCGCAAGCCUGAUCCAGCCAUGCCGCGUGAGUGAUGAAGGCCUUAGGGUUGUAAAGCUCUUUCGCUCGCGAAGAUAAUGACGGUAGCGAGAGAACGAAGCCCCGGCUAACUUCGUGCCAGCAGCCGCGGUAAUACGAAGGGGGCUAGCGUUGUUCGGAAUCACUGGGCGUAAAGCGUACGUAGGCAGACCGUUAAGUCGGGGGUGAAAGCCUGGAGCUCAACUCCAGAACUGCCUCCGAUACUGGCGGUCUUGAGUCCGGGAGAGGUGAGUGGAACUCCUAGUGUAGAGGUGAAAUUCGUAGAUAUUAGGAAGAACACCAGUGGCGAAGGCGGCUCACUGGCCCGGUACUGACGCUGAGGUACGAAAGCGUGGGGAGCAAACAGGAUUAGAUACCCUGGUAGUCCACGCUGUAAACGAUGGAAGCCAGCCGUUGGGAGCAUGCUCUUCGGUGGCGCAGCUAACGCAUUAAGCUUCCGGCCUGGGGAUCGGCGCAAGNUUAAACUCAAAUGAAUUGACCGGNUGNGAGNGCGAGACGACGACGAGGGAG